GACGAACGCUGGCGGCGUGCUUAACACAUGCAAGUGGAGCGACGAACCAGGGCUUGCCCUGGGGCAGAGCCGCGAACGGGUGAGUAACACGUGGGUAACGUGCCCCGAUGACUGGGACAACCCGGGGAAACCCGGGCUAAUACCGGAUAUGCCCCCUGACAUCUGUCAGGUGUGUAAAGGAAGCUUCGGCCUCCGCAUCGGGAUCGGCCCGCGGCGCAUUAGCUUGUUGGUGGGGUAAUGGCCUACCAAGGCAGCGAUGCGUAGCUGGUCUGAGAGGACGAUCAGCCACACUGGGACUGAGACACGGCCCAGACUCCUACGGGAGGCAGCAGUGGGGAAUCUUGCACAAUGCGCGAAAGCGUGAUGCAGCAACGCCGCGUGCGGGAAGACGGCCUUCGGGUUGUAAACCGCUUUCAGUUGGGACGAAGGUCGGCGCGUUAAUAGCGGGUCCGACUGACGGUACCUUCACAAGAAGCCCCGGCUAACUACGUGC
rnacentral:rRNA from 1 species